AGGGGCGGGACCAGACGAGGGGUGACUGCUGCGCGGUGCCGGGGAGGACGCCUUCACCUGUUCACGCGGCAGCGCGGAUUGCGGUUCGUGGCGCGCGCCACCGGGGAAGGAGCGGUGGGCCGAGGGGUGGAGGUGGGGUCCCAGAAGGACCUCGGGCUGUGGACCCGGGGAGCGGAGUCGGGGAGUGGGGGAGCGAGGUGGCGCCCGGGAGCCAGGGAUAUGGCGCGGCCAGACGAUGAGGAGGGGGCGGCGGUGGCGCCCGGACACCCGCUCGCGAAAGGAUACCUUCCGUUGCGGACGGGCGCGCCCGCUGGGAAGGAGAGCGUGGAGCCGCAGAACGGGCCUAAAGCGGGCACCUUCCCGGUGAACGGGGGCCCCCGGGACAGCCUCGCUGCCGCCUCGGGAGUUCUGGGCGGGUCUCAGACUCCUCUGGCUCCAGAAGAGGAGACCCAGGCCCGGCUGCUGCCUGCGGGCGCGGGAGCGGAGACCCCGGGGGCCGAGAGCACCCCGCUGCCCCGGACGGCGCUCUCCCCGCAGCGCUUCGUGGUGCUCCUGAUCUUCAGCCUGUACUCGCUGGUAAACGCCUUUCAGUGGAUCCAGUACAGCAUCAUCAGCAACGUCUUCGGGGGCUUCUACGGUGUCACCUUGCUGCGCAUCGACUGGCUGUCCAUGGUGUACAUGCUGGCCUACGUGCCCCUCAUCUUCCCGGCCACCUGGCUGCUGGACACCGGAGGCCUGCGGCUCACCGCCCUGCUGGGCUCCGGCCUCAACUGCCUGGGUGCCUGGAUCAAGUGCGGCAGUGUGCAGCAGCAUCUCUUCUGGGUCACCAUGUUGGGCCAGUGCCUGUGCUCCGUGGCCCAGGUAUUCAUCCUGGGCUUGCCCUCCCGCAUCGCCUCAGUGUGGUUUGGGCCCAAAGAGGUGUCCACAGCUUGUGCCACCGCCGUGCUGGGCAAUCAGCUUGGAACUGCAGUUGGCUUUUUGCUACCACCAGUUUUAGUACCCAACACACAGAAUGACACAAAUCUCCUGGCUUAUAAUAUCAGCACCAUGUUUUAUGGAACAUCAGCUGUUGCCACACUUUUAUUUAUUUUAACAGCAAUUGCCUUCAAAGAAAAACCUCGGUAUCCACCAAGUCAGGCUCAAGCAGCUCUUCAAGACAGUCCCCCUGAAGAGUACUCCUAUAAGAAAUCAAUAACAAACCUGUUUAAAAACAUUCCUUUUGUCCUUCUGUUGAUCACUUAUGGUAUCAUGACUGGUGCCUUUUAUUCAGUCUCAACAUUAUUAAAUCAAAUGAUAUUGACAUAUUAUGAGGGAGAAGAAGUCAGUGCUGGAAGGAUUGGGCUAACACUAGUAGUAGCUGGAAUGGUGGGCUCUAUUCUUUGUGGCUUAUGGCUGGAUUAUACCAAAACAUACAAACAGACUACUCUGAUAGUUUAUAUUUUGUCUUUUAUUGGAAUGGUUAUCUUUACUUUCACAUUGGACCUCGGAUACAUUAUCAUCGUGUUUGUUACUGGAGGGGUGCUUGGCUUCUUCAUGACUGGUUACCUCCCUUUGGGUUUUGAAUUUGCUGUUGAAAUCACUUACCCUGAAUCUGAAGGUACUUCAUCUGGUCUUCUUAAUGCUUCUGCACAGAUAUUUGGAAUUUUGUUCACAUUGGCUCAAGGAAAGCUCACAUCAGACUAUGAUCCUAAGGCAGGAAACAUUUUUCUCUGUGUCUGGAUGUUUAUAGGCAUCAUUUUAACAGCAUUAAUCAAGUCGGAUCUGCGAAGACACAACAUAAAUAUAGGAAUUACAAAUGUUGAUGUUAAAGCUGUACCAGCUGACAGUCCCACAGACCAAGAAUCAAAAACGGUUAUGUUGUCCACGCAGUCAGAAUCAGCAAUUUGAAGAGAAAGGAAAAGUUACUAUCCUGUAGUAAUUGGGGAAAAUGUGAUCAUCCUUGGAGAGAGAUAUGAGCACCAAGACUGGAAAAUGGAAGCUUAGAAGACUUUUUAAAGUGAUAAUAUGGGGUGUUCAGUCCCCAUAAGAUAUAAUUGUUCAUGCAGUUUAUAUAUUAAAAUAUCCAAUGGAACUAAAUGUACAAUAUAUUCCUAAUUGGCUGCCUUUUCACUGUGCUGACCAACUGUUCAAGCCACUUCAUAUGAGUACAACAUACCAACAUGACACUACUCACCCACAAAGGACAGCAUUGGGAUCAGGCUUUCAGAUGACCUCUACGAUUUUUCCCAUUUAUUGUACUCUUGUUACACAUGCAGUCAAUGGCUACAAAAACUAUUCUGUGUACAGAUUCUACCCAGACUUUGGUAUUAGAAUUAUGUUCUCAUUAAGGAGCCUGGUUAUAGGCUCGUUCUGUCUUGAGUUCUUUUCUGUGCUGCCUUUCUAUCAUGGAUAAAUGCUAACACUGUAUUUUUUUCAUUCCAACUUGAGAUAGUUUUGUACCCAUUGCCUUUUUUUUAUUUUAAACUUGCUUCUUUUUUUUUCCUGAUGUGUAACUUUCUAGUAAGACAAUUUCAUCAUAUAUGUUACUGGCUAUUUCAUGAUUUCUUGUAUCACAUCCUAUAUUUUGCUUUGAAGAUUCCUGAAAUAAGGAAAUCUGUAAUAACUUCAGAUAGUCUACAUGUCUCCAUUUAGUGGAGAUCUCUUGAAUGCUGUUUGAAUUCUGCAGUAUCAUUUUUAUGACCAUUCUCCUUUGAGGAAUACUAUUCCCAGGUACAUGCUCCAUCAGUGUGCCAGGGAGUGGAUUCUUUUCUUCACUGCAGCGUCAUCACACUGUUGGAGUUGUCUGCUCUUUUACAUGCUCAGGUAGGGAAAAUAGGACCAAAUAUAUUUCCACAGUGCCUACCACUGUGUCAUGUUUACAGUGAGAGGUUAAGUACUGUUGAUGUCCUGACUCUGAGCUCAUGGGGAGUAUCUUUAUAGUAAUGACAUUUGAUCAGCCAUAGAAUUUACAUUAUGUUCAUAUGCACCCAAAAAAGCUAGUCAGGUAAUGAAUACCCUUGAAGUGAAUAGCAGUUUUGAUUUAGGCAGUGUGUUAGGCCAUCCUUGCAUUGCUAUAAAGAAAUACUUGGGCCAGGCGUGGUGGCUCACGCGUAUAAUCCCAGCACUUUGGGAGACCGAAGUGGGUGGAUCACCUGAGGUCAGGAGUUCAAGACCAGCCUGGCCAACAUGGUAAAAACCCAUCUCUACUAAAAAAAAAAAGUGA